UGGACUAUUUCAUGAGAUUGCGCUGUUAUCCCUAGGGUAACUUGGUCCAUUGAUCAGAAAUUCUGGAUCAAAGGUGACGUAAAUUAACAAAGACUGGUU